CGGACAGAUGCCAGGUGGACCCGGG
rnacentral:piRNA from 1 species